GCCAGACUCCUACGGGAGGCAGCAGUGAGGAAUAUUGGUCAAUGGCCGGAAGGCUGAACCAGCCAAGCCGCGUGAAGGACGAAGGUGCCAAGCAUUGUAAACUUCUUUUGUCAAGGGACAAAAUCAGGCUCGAGAGCCUGACCGAGGGUACUUGAAGAAAAAGCAUCGGCUAACUCCGUGCCAGCAGCCGCGGUAAUACGGAGGAUGCGAGCGUUAUCCGGAUUUAUUGGGUUUAAAGGGUGCGUAGGCGGAGUGUAAGGUAGGGGGGAAAGGCCGGGGGCUCAACCCGGGCGAGCCGUUGAAACUGGCUGUCUUGAGAUGUCGAGAGGUAUGCGGAAUGCGCAGUGUAGCGGUGAAAUGCUUAGAUAUUGCGCAGAACUCCGAUUGCGAAGGCAGCAUACCGGCGGCGAUCUGACGCUGAGGCACGAAAGCGUGGGUAUCGAACAGGAUUAGAUACCCGAGUA
rnacentral:rRNA from 1 species